rnacentral:rRNA from 1 species
GACGAACGCUGGCGGCGUGCUUAACACAUGCAAGUCGAACGGAAAGGCCCUGCUUUUGUGGGGUGCUCGAGUGGCGAACGGGUGAGUAACACGUGAGUAACCUGCCCUUGACUUUGGGAUAACUUCAGGAAACUGGGGCUAAUACCGGAUAGGAGCUCCUGCUGCAUGGUGGGGGUUGGAAAGUUUCGGCGGUCGGGGAUGGACUCGCGGCUUAUCAGCUUGUUGUUGGGGUAGUGGCUUACCAAGGCUUUGACGGGUAGCCGGCCUGAGAGGGUGACCGGCCUCAGAGGGGCUGAGAUACGACCCAGACUACUACGGGAGGCAGCAGUGGGGAAUAUUGCACAAUGGGAAGAAGCCUGAUGCAGCAACGCCGCGUGCGGGAUGACGGCCUUCGGGUUGUAAACCGCUUUCGCCUGUGACGAAGCGUGAGUGACGGUAAUGGGUAAAGAAGCACCGGCUAACUACGUG